rnacentral:rRNA from 1 species
AACGAACGCUGGCGGCAGGCUUAACACAUGCAAGUCGAGCGCCCCGCAAGGGGCGCGGCAGACGGGUGAGUACCGCGUGGGAACGUACCUUUUGGUUCGGAACAACUCCGGGAAACUGGAGCUAAUACCGGAUAAGCCCUAACGGGGAAAGAUUUAUCGCCGAAAGAUCGGCCCGCGUCUGAUUAGCUAGUUGGUGAGGUAACGGCUCACCAAGGCGACGAUCAGUAGCUGGUCUGAGAGGAUGAUCAGCCACACUGGGACUGAGACACGGCCCAGACUCCUACGGGAAGCAGCAGUGGGGAAUAUUGGACAAUGGGCGCAAGCCUGAUCCAGCCAUGCCGCGUGAGUGAUGGAGGCCUUAGGGUUGUAAAGCUCUUUUGUCCGGGAAGAUAAUGACUGUACCGGAAGAAUAAGCCCCGGCUAACUUCGUG